rnacentral:tRNA from 1 species
CGCCUCGUAGCUCAAUUGGAUAGAGCACCAGGCUUCGAACCUGGGGGUUGGGGGUUCGAGUCCCUCCGAGGCGACCA